CACACACCCGUUCAAUACACAAACACACACACAGCCCACAUGCUGCCUGGCUCUCGGCUGCUCAGUACAAUAGAGGGCAGGGGACCAGGAGGCAGCAGCAGCAGCAGCAGGAGGCAUCAAGCAGGCCCCAGCUCAUCUGACCCAGCGUAGGUCCUCGUGGACCGGCCCUCCGAUCGCCACCGCCGGCUUUCUGACGACAUGGAGCCCCUUCCCGGACCCUCGGCCACACUGGAAGUACGGGAGCUGUGAGGAACUGAGACCUGGCGUCGGUGAUGUGGAGCAUGUGGUCUAUAAAGCUGCCUCUUCUCUGGACUGAAGACCCGCAUCACAUGGCACCAAGCGGGCCCUCUGGACUCUGACCCAUGCCCCCCCCUGGAUUGUUUUUUGGCUCCUGACCGGUUGUGACUGCCGCCUUCGUCGUUGUGGUCGUUGUGGCUUCAUUUUUUUUCGGGAUUGAUCCGAUGUCAGAACGGAAAGUAAAAGGAUGAGAAAGUGACGGAAGGACGCAAAGAUCGACUGAUUCUGAAAAGAGAGAGAGAGAGAGAGAGAGAGAGAGAGAGGAACAAUACAAUUGCACAUAACAGAGAGAGAGCGAGAGGUAAGGUUAUUAUUGUGUAUUGUGGCAGAGGGAUAAAGGGAGUUUGAGGUUUGAGAGACAGAGAGGGAGAGAGAGUGUGGGAGGGUUUAGUGAGUGCUUCUGUGUGUUUUCUUUGGACAGAGUUGGUUUCGUGUGCAGGACAGACACUCCUCCGGUCUGUCUGAUCGUCAGUCUGACCGUUUUCCAAGCAACUUUCCACGCGAAUGCCCACACACUCUCACACACACACACACUCACUCGUGCCUACAUCUGCUCACCAGGAGUCCUUCUGCUUUGGCCUCCGUCGCCUUGGGAACCUCACCUCUAAUUGACAGUGUGUGUGUGUGUGUGUGUGUGUGUGUGUGUGUGACGAUGUACCACCCCACCACACGGGACGAUUCUAAUGAAGACAUACAUCUUCCUGUCCUGGAGAGCUGAGCGCUGCUGCGGUUCUCUCAGAGGUCCUCGGUGGCAGACGGACUGACGGACGGAACCACAACUUGUCGGGCAGUGAAAAGCAAAGUCGGAACCAACACUUUUUUUCGGUUGGAAUCAACGAUGUGACGGAGAGCGGCCGGAACGGGGAACCGACCGCCAUUUGAACUCAAACCCGAAAAACCCAGCGGGGAAAACGGUCCGCUCGGAACCCUCGGAAAAAAACGUGGCCGUUUUUUGGAAACCGACUGCUCCUCACCGCCGGUUCCACCGCAGCCGCCGUCGCGUGAUUGGCUCAUGUGGGCAGGAAGGAAUGCGGACGUGAGAGACCGGCGUUCCCAGAUGCCCGCCGCCCUGCUCCCGGGCCCCGCCCCCACGUCGGCGCCCGACUGGAGCUUCCAGAACCCGGUGGGGGUGGACUGCAGCUCCCCGGAGCCCCGCUGCAUCUGGCUGGCCGUGCUCCGCGGCCGGGCGGCCUCGCCUACGUUUCCCAGCAUGCACCUGGCCGCCGGCAGUGGUGGCGGCGGGCACGGUCAGACCAACAGGGUCGUUCUGCCCCCCGAUUGGCCGAUGGGUAACGGGAGGAGGGAUGGUCUGCCCUCGACCAGUGACAACCCCCGGCCGGCCUUGGCGACGUGCCCAGGGAGAGACGGAGGAGGAGGGGGGGG
ensembl:lncRNA